CUGACUCAGGAGACAGACGACUUCAGUAAGUCCGACUUCCCUCCCGCUGUUCUGCUCCUCCAGGCUCACUUCAUCCAGCCAGGUGGAACUUGAUGACACAUGAUCCCACACAAGAAUACACCGAACUGAGUCUUACUGAGGAUCCGUGCUGGCGUGGACUGGAGCUGAGGUCAGGAGGUGAGAAGCUCACUGAGAAGAGGAGGCAGACAGGUGCCUCCAAGGCAGUUGGGGGAACACCAAACCUCUUCUAUCCAGCUUGAUUGUUCUGCCUGGGGCUGGCAAAAUCUGCACAUUCUAAGCUAUCAACAGAUAUAGAGGGCUAAUGAGAAGAGAUGCGGGUCAAAGAAAGUAAGCCUUUAAAGACAUACUCUGCUGUCUUAUAGCCUGUGCUGUCUCCAGAGGGUGCCUUGCUACCUUUACCCUGGUCCAACGCACACAGCAUAGCUUCUGUUCCUGGUCGCUGAUCUCCGGGUUUCUGAGAUUCCAGAGUGAUAUGCCUUGGUGUCUCUUUCUUUAUGCUUCGUGUGUCUGAGCUUCAGUGAACUUCUAAGAACUAAGGCUUGUUCAGGAGCACUGACCAGCUAAGCUCCUCGGUGCCACCAAGAAUAGCUGUUCAAACAGUCAUCCUUCAGGCACAGGAAAGCUUUAGUAAGGAGAAAGAAGAGUGUUGCCUCUAUCCGUGGCUGGUGCAUCUCCAAAUGAUUUCAAUUUAUGAUGCUAUUUUAAUACAGAAAAAUAAACGAAAACACUAGCACAUUUGACAUUUGAAAUUAUGCUGACUGGCUGGCAUAUUUUAAAACACAUCAAAUAAAGACAGGCAUCAAUGUUUGACAAA
ensembl:lincRNA AU016765 expressed sequence AU016765